GAUGAACGCUGGCGGCGUGCCUAAUACAUGCAAGUCGAGCGAAGCGGGGACGGGGGAGUAACACGUCGAUAACCUCCUAUAAGACUGGGAUAACUUCCUGAAACCGGAGCCAAUCCGGAUGAUUAUAGAUGGUGCCGGGCGGCAUUAGCUAGUUGGUAAGGUAACGGCUUACAAAGGCAACGAUGCAUAUCCGACCUGAGAGGGUGAUCGGCCACACUGGAACUGAGACACGGUCCAGACUCCUACGGGAGGCAGCAGUGGGGAAUCUUCCGCAAUGGGCGAAAGCCUGACGGAGCAACGCCGCGUGAGUGAUGAAGGUCUUCGGGUUGUAAAGCACUGUUAUUAGGGAGGCGUUACCUGAUCAGAAAGCACCGGCUAACUACGUGCCAGCAGCCGCGGUAAUAC
rnacentral:rRNA from 1 species